GGCGCGAGUUGCCACUGCGAGGUGCCCGGAUGGAAGACGAGGGGACGGGGCAGGGCGGGGAGGAGGGAGUGCGUGGUGGCGGCGAGGAAAACGAGGCGGCCGGCCACGGCGACGGACUGCACGGGGAGCGAGCGGGAGAGGAAUCCCGGGUGGGAGAGGAGGAGGUGGCGGAGCUGGGGAUGGUGGGGGACGGGUCGCCAGGCGGCGGCGACGGGGUCGAAGGUCUGGAGCUCGACGGCGGCGGGAGAGGAGGCGCAGGAGAGGAGGGCGUAGAGGGAGAGGAAAGGAGGGAAGGAAGGGGAGUAGAGGAGGCGGCGCCAGGAGCGGCAGACGCCGAAGAGGACGCGAGGGUGCAGCCGGCUGAGGCACAGCUGCGCGAUGUGAUCGGGCAGCCCCGGCAGAAGAAGG
rnacentral:lncRNA from 1 species